rnacentral:rRNA from 1 species
CAGUCGCCACGGGAAUACGUAGGUGGCAAGCGUUGUCCGGAAUUAUUGGGCGUAAAGGGCUCGCAGGCGGUUUCUUAAGUCUGAUGUGAUAGCCCCCGGCUCAACCGGGGAGGGUCAUUGGAAACUGGGAAACUUGAGUGCAGAAGAGGAGAGUGGAAUUCCACGUGUAGCGGUGAAAUGCGUAGAGAUGUGGAGGAACACCAGUGGCGAAGGCGACUCUCUGGUCUGUAACUGACGCUGAGGAGCGAAAGCGUGGGGAGCGAACAGGAUUAGAUACCCCCGUAGUCCCUGUCUCUUAUAC